AUGUGGGUUCACACCUUUUUAAAUGUCUUGUCUCAACGGCAGCACGGGUGCUUGCACCUGGUGGCGAGUGGCGAACGGGUGAGUAAUACAUCGGAACAUGUCCUGUAGUGGGGGAUAGCCCGGCGAAAGCCGGAUUAAUACCGCAUACGAUCUACGGAUGAAAGCGGGGGACCUUCGGGCCUCGCGCUAUAGGGUUGGCCGAUGGCUGAUUAGCUAGUUGGUGGGGUAAAGGCCUACCAAGGCGACGAUCAGUAGCUGGUCUGAGAGGACGACCAGCCACACUGGGACUGAGACACGGCCCAGACUCCUACGGGAGGCAGCAGUGGGGAAUUUUGGACAAUGGGCGAAAGCCUGAUCCAGCAAUGCCGCGUGUGUGAAGAAGGCCUUCGGGUUGUAAAGCACUUUUGUCCGGAAAGAAAUCCUUGGCUCUAAUACAGUCGGGGGAUGACGGUACCGGAAGAAUAAGCACCGGCUAACUACGUGCCAGCAGCCGCGGUAAUACGUAGGGUGCAAGCGUUAAUCGGAAUUACUGGGCGUAAAGCGUGCGCAGGCGGUUUGCUAAGACCGAUGUGAAAUCCCCGGGCUCAACCUGGGAACUGCAUUGGUGACUGGCAGGCUAGAGUAUGGCAGAGGGGGGUAGAAUUCCACGUGUAGCAGUGAAAUGCGUAGAGAUGUGGAAGAAUACCGAUGGCGAAGGCAGCCCCCUGGGCCAAUACUGACGCUCAUGCACGAAAGCGUGGGGAGCAAACAGGAUUAUAUACCCUGGUAGUCCACGCCCUAAACGAUGUCAACUAGUUGUUGGGGAUUCAUUUCCUUAGUAACGUAGCUAACGCGUGAAGUUGACCGCCUGGGGAGUACGGUCGCAAGAUUAAAACUCAAAGGAAUUGACGGGGACCCGCACAAGCGGUGGAUGAUGUGAUUAAUUCGAUGCAAGCGAAAAACCUUACCUACCCUUGACAUGGUCUGAAUCCUGCUGAGAGGUGGGGAGGUGCUCGAAAGAAUAUCUGUCCACAAGUGCUGCAUGCUGUCGUCAGCUCGUUGGAAAUGUUGGAUUAGUCCCGCACGAGCGCAACCUUGUCCUAGUUGCUACGCAAGAGCCCUCUAGAACUGGCUGGUACAACGGGAGAAGGUGGGGAAUAGACUUCAGUCUUAC
rnacentral:rRNA from 1 species